rnacentral:rRNA from 1 species
UGAACCAGUACCGUGAGGGAAAGGCGAAAAGAACCCCGGCGAGGGGAGUGAAAAAGAACCUGAAACCGUGUACGUACAAGCAGUGGGAGCCUCUUUAUGGGGUGACUGCGUACCUUUUGUAUAAUGGGUCAGCGACUUAUAUUCUGUAGCAAGGUUAACCGAAUAGGGGAGCCGAAGGGAAACCGAGUCUUAACUGGGCGUUAAGUUGCAGGGUAUAGACCCGAAACCCGGUGAUCUAGCCAUGGGCAGGUUGAAGGUUGGGUAACACUAACUGGAGGACCGAACCGACUAAUGUUGAAAAAUUAGCGGAUGACUUGUGGCUGGGGGUGAAAGGCCAAUCAAACCGGGAGAUAGCUGGUUCUCCCCGAAAGCUAUUUAGGUAGCGCCUCGUGAAUUCAUCUCCGGGGGUAGAGCACUGUUUCGGCAAGGGGGUCAUCCCGACUUACCAACCCGAUGCAAACUGCGAAUACCGGAGAAUGUUAUCACGGGAGACACACGGCGGGUGCUAACGUCCGUCGUGAAGAGGGAAACAACCCAGACCGCCAGCUAAGGUCCCAAAGUCAUGGUUAAGUGGGAAACGAUGUGGGAAGGCCCAGACAGCCAGGAUGUUGGCUUAGAAGCAGCCAUCAUUUAAAGAAAGCGUAAUAGCUCACUGGUCGAGUCGGCCUGCGCGGAAGAUGUAACGGGGCUAAACCAUGCACCGAAGCUGCGGCAGCGACACUAUGUGUUGUUGGGUAGGGGAGCGUUCUGUAAGCCUGCGAAGGUGUACUGUGAGGUAUGCUGGAGGUAUCAGAAGUGCGAAUGCUGACAUAAGUAACGAUA